UGAAGAUCUACAUCAAAAAGAAGGGGGAAAUCAAGAUCUACAUUGGGAUCUUCUGCUCAUGUGGAUCCUGCCACCUGAGGUGAUCACUUCACGUUGUCUCAUGUGUGGGCCGGCCCUGCAUCCAGCUCAAUACUGGGUACCUCAGGAGGCUGCCAUAUUGUCAAGUAACUGCAGCAAGGAACAGACUUGGAUUCUUUAUUUU